CAAUAAGCCAAGGAAAGCCAAUGAAAAUAUUUGACAUCAGUAAUGAUCAUAUUUACAUUCUUGAUUCCACUAAUCAAUAAGGUGGAGAGCAACCUGAUGGUAAAGCAACAAUAUCAAAGUCAAAAUCCAGCUCAAAAAUGCUGAGGAACUGAACCACAGGAAUGCAGAAAGGAUAAACAAACAAACAAACCUAAAAUCUUCACCUGGUAAACUUAGAUAGACUUAUUACUGUAUUAUAUGAAAAGAUGGAAAAGGAUGAAGGAGGCUACCUCCAAGGUUAGUAUCUUGGCCAAUGGUCAGUAAUUAUGGUCUACUGAUUGAAAGACAGGAGGAGGAGCUGGCAAUUUGGUCUCCUUUAAGCGGCAGGAAAACAAAUCUACUUUUUAUGUAAUUAAAAACAAAACGAGAAAAAGCCAAUUCUACAGAAUUUCCCUCCUACCAAAAAACCUUCCCACUUUCCAGAAAUCUUAUCUUUGAAAUGAGGAACCCUUAAAGGUUUUUGUUUUUCCAAAAAUAAAAAGUCAUUUGGGCAGAAGGGGGUCUUCAACAUCAUUUAGCAUUCUUUAAAAGCAAAUUAAAUCCGAAGCCGAUUGCAUAUAAUUUAA
rnacentral:lncRNA from 1 species